AAACAUGGUAUCCAUGCGAUGCACUAACUGAACUCCUUAAAACUGACCCAUUCAGAGCGGACAUCACAGUACCAGGGUACAGGUAUUUUAAAUGUUCAUGCACCGCAGUGGUACUUUCGUCAAGGAAAUCAAGUUCAAGUUUGUUUUCUGUGAAAUGGUUUCACAUUUUUUUAAAUCUCCAUUUCCAUUUCCAAUCUUUGCAACCCAGGUACUGAUUGGUAGCUGUGAACCAUGCUCACCUCCUUCAAGAGCACUUCUGCUUUUUCUUCAUUGCACUUUCUGCUGCCACAAGUUGCUGUUGCUGACUUGUUUCUGGCCACCUGACUGAGAGGACCGGGAACACUUUGGCCAUUGCUGCUUUGGUAGUUCUCCAUGUCUGCAGCAACACUGAGUUCCGAGGUCACUCUGUUGAAAGAUCAUGCCAGGAAGAGAGAGUGACUUUAAAGGAGGCGAAGUAGCUAUCAUUUUGUGACAGAUUUGCUCCUUUAUGUCAGCACAAGAUGACCUUGCCGUAUUGUCACCACAGUUCACCCACCUGCUGGAGAUUUGAAAUUUUAACUGUGUUAGAAAAACGUUCAGCCCACCCCACCCCUCAGCAUGAAACACUAGUUUUACUGUGAUUGUCUUUCAAUCACUGGAAAACCAUAAUAGUUCUCUCCCCAUUCACUCUAGGGGAAAGUCACAGAGGACUGUGAUGUGGUUCUGGUCACUAGGUGAAAUCUGGAGAGAAGUCAUCAGCACAAAAUCCUGCCUGCUCUUGGAGAAUGUAACUCAUCAUUCUUUAUAGCUAAAGUUUGCAGGUGUCUUCUAAAGGCAGGCAAUCAGUUCCUGAAGUGACCGAUAAUGUGCACGGGGGAGUCUGGGACCCCUGAUAACACCGCAAACCACAAGGCUGUCAGCUGGAAAGGAAGUCCAUAGUUUGUUCAUGGUGAAACAGGAAAGUGAGAGAAACAGUCUGGGACCGACGCAAAAUCCUGUGCUAUACAGGCAGGCUAAAACCUCCGUUUAUGGGUCAAGGACCCAAAGAAGUAAUGGUCAGAAGCCAUUACAAAAAACAGCGAUCUGGCAUUGCUGUGUUGUGCAUAUUAAAAUAGCAUAAUAAGAAUUUCUUAAUAAAAGCUAGAAACGG
ensembl:lncRNA